rnacentral:rRNA from 1 species
UACUGAGACACGGACCAGACUCCUACGGGAGGCAGCAGUGAGGAAUAUUGGACAAUGGGCGCAAGCCUGAUCCAGCCAUGCCGCGUGCAGGAAGAAGCAUCUAAGGUGUGUAAACUGCUUUUGUACGGGAAGAAACACUGCUACGUGUAGCAGCUUGACGGUACCGUAAGAAUAAGGAUCGGCUAACUCCGUGCCAGCAGCCGCGGUAAUACGGAGGAUCCAAGCGUUAUCCGGAAUCAUUGGGUUUAAAGGGUCCGUAGGCGGUCUAAUAAGUCAGUGGUGAAAGCCCAUCGCUCAACGAUGGAACGGCCAUUGAUACUGUUAGACUUGAAUUAUUGGGAAGUAACUAGAAUAUGUAGUGUAGCGGUGAAAUGCUUAGAUAUUACAUGGAAUACCAAUUGCGAAGGCAGGUUACUAUCAAUAUAUUGACGCCGAUGGACGAAAGCGUGGGGAGCGAAUAGGAUUAG